GGAUGAUAUUUGGGAAUUGUUCUCAAAAAGAUCUUGCUCCUUCAAUCUUUUUUUCUUGGGUUCAAUGCCAUACAUCCAGUGUAAAUCUGCUACUCCAUCACUAGCAUCCUGACCAGGAGCUGUACAUGGAGGAACGUAGGGAGGAUGCUGGGAAUGAUCCUGCAAAUUGAAGGAGUUGAAAUAGGAGAUCGGUUGAGAAACAUGACCAUCGGCAGUGUACAAGUUGCGAAAAGAAAUAGAUUGGUGUUGCUGUUGGGAUUGAUA
rnacentral:misc_RNA from 1 species